GACGAAGGUGGCAAGCGUUGCUCGGAAUCACUGGGCAUAAAGCGCGCGUAGGUGGCCUGACAAGUCGGUGGUGAAAUCCCAUGGCUUAACCAUGGAACUGCCGUCGAUACUGUCGAGCUUGAGGACGGUAGGGGAGAGUGGAACUCCUGGUGUAGCGGUGAAAUGCGUAGAUAUCAGGAGGAACGCCGGUGGCGAAAGCGACUCUCUGGGCCGUUCCUGACACUGAGGCGCGAAAGCUAGGGGAGCAAACAGG
rnacentral:rRNA from 1 species